rnacentral:rRNA from 1 species
GAUGAACGCUGGCGGCGUGCUUAACACAUGCAAGUCGAACGAAGCACUUUAUUUGAUUUCCUUCGGGACUGAUUAUUUUGUGACUGAGUGGCGGACGGGUGAGUAACGCGUGGGUAACCUGCCUUGUACAGGGGGAUAACAGGUGGAAACGGCUGCUAAUACCGCAUAAGCGCACAGCAUCGCAUGAUGCAGUGUGAAAAACUCCGGUGGUAUAAGAUGGACCCGCGUUGGAUUAGCUAGUUGGGGAGGUAACGGCCCACCAAGGCGACGAUCCAUAGCCGACCUGAGAGGGUGACCGGCCACAUUGGGACUGAGACACGGCCCAAACUCCUACGGGAGGCAGCAGUGGGGAAUAUUGCACAAUGGGCGAAAGCCUGAUGCAGCGACGCCGCGUGAGCGAAGAAGUAUUUCGGUAUGUAAAGCUCUAUCAGCAGGGAAGAUAAUGACGGUACCUGACUAAGAAGCACCGGCUAAAUACGUG